rnacentral:lncRNA from 1 species
AGAAUAACUAAGGAAAAGUGGUUAACACCAGGGAAGCUCUCUACAGAAAAUAGGGACUUUGGAAUGUAAUUGCCACAGAGUUGAAUAUUCCUCCUUAGAACAGAGCUUGGUGGGUUUCCUGAUUCCAAGAUGAGGGGGUAGAAUCCGAAGAUCUCCAAGGCCUUGAUGAGUGCUACCAGUCUGCAAAUUCCCAAGCCAAGUUCU